GAGACGCUGGCGGCGUGCCUAACACAUGCAAGUCGAACGGAGGUACUUUGAAGCUUGCGAUAAAGUAUCUUAGUGGCGGACGGGUGAGUAACGCGUGGGUAAUCUGCCCAUAAGUGGGGAACAACAGUUGGAAACGACUGCUAAUACCCGCAUAAUCUGCCUUAGGGUAGGAAAGGUGGCCUCUUAACAAUGCUGCCGCUUAUGGAUGAGCCCGCGUCUGAUUAGCUAGUUGGUGGGGUAAAGGCCUACCAAGGCGACGAUCAGUAGCCGGCCUGAGAGGGUGAACGGCCACACUGGGACUGAGACACGGCCCAGACUCCUACGGGGGGCAGCAGUGGGGGAUCUUGCACAAUGGGCGAAAGCCUGAUGCAGCGACGCCGCGUGAGGGAUGAAGGCCUUCGGGUUGUAAACCUCUUUCAGUAGGGAAGAAGCGCAAGUGACGGUACCUACAGAAGAAGCACCGGCUAACUACGUG
rnacentral:rRNA from 1 species